rnacentral:rRNA from 1 species
AUGGCCGCCUCCUACAUAGCACUCUUGCUCAUCCUCGCCGCAGUUGCCCCACGCCCCUCCUCCGCGCGGCACGUCGUCUCCUUCAUCCCUAGUCGCGGCGUCUCCCCCUCCUCCCUGGCCUGGGACCCCACCGCUCAGCACUUCGUCGUCGCCGGCGGAGGCGACGCCGUCCUUUCCGUAUCCGACGCCGGCGUGACCGAAUUGAUCGCGUCCCCCGGUGCCUCCGCAGUCGCCGUUGACGACCGCCGCCGUCGCCUCAUAGUAGCGUCCGCCGGUUCCGUCUCCGCUUUCGACCUCCGCACCCCUCGGCCCCAUCGCCUCCUCUUCUCCACCACGCUCCCCGACCCCGCCGCGCCCGGCGGCGUCGCCGUGGACCCACAAUCUGGCGUCGCCUUCCUCACCUUGGGCGCCCAAAUCUACAGCCUUUCCACUGACGGCGACCUCGCCGCGCUCCCUGCUUCGCCCGUCUAUGGCUCGGAGCCCCUUUCCUCCCUCGCCGCACACGUGAGCCGGGGGUUCCUCCUCGUCGGCCGUCCCAGCACCGGCCACCUCCUCCGCGUCGACAUGGAGGACGGAUCCGCAAGAGACGUUUCAGGGCCCUUUACGCCCCCCACGCCGGUCGCCGUCGCGGUGCGGAGCGAUGGGAUGGUGGCGGUGGGCGGGGCCGCGACUCUGCGCCUGGUCGGGAGCAACGACGGGUGGGUGUCUUGCGCGGAGCAUGACGUGGGGGAACCGGACGGCUCCGUCGCGGCGGUGGCGGUGGCGGUAAGGGAGCGGAAGCGGGUGUACGCGCUGGUGGAGGCGGAGGUGGAGGGGAAGAGGGAAUGGCGGAUCGAGGAGGUGGAGUGGAAAAAGGAGGGGGAGGGGGAGAUGGUGGCGCUGUUAAUCUUGGUCGGCGCCGCCCUCGCCAUCUUCAUGUUCUGGAGGUUCCAGAUGCGGCAGCUCGCCGGCAACAUGAACAAGAAGAUCAGAUAG